rfam:Treponema succinifaciens DSM 2489, complete genome.
CGGGCAAUAGCGCAGCUGGUAGCGCGCUAGCUUCGGGAGUUAGAGGUCCCGGGUUCGAAUCCCGGUUGCCCGA